GACGAACCGAGCGAACGUUAUUCGGAUUCACUGGGCUUAAAGGGUGCGUAGGCGGGCUGUCAAGUCUGGGGUGAAAUCCCACGGCUCAACCGUGGAACUGCCUUAGAUACUGAUGGCCUCGAGGAAGGUAGGGGCAUGCGGAACUGUAGGUGGAGCGGUGAAAUGCGUUGAUAUCUACAGGAACUCCGGUGGCGAAAGCGGCGUGCUGGACCUUUUCUGGCGCUGAGGCACGAAAGCUAGGGGAGCGAAACGGGAGUUAGAA
rnacentral:rRNA from 1 species